rnacentral:lncRNA from 1 species
AUAGAAGACCAUUUUUAUUUCUCUACAUUUUCUUUACAUUUUCUAGGAAUAGUCUACUUGUAAUCUUUUCCUUUUUCGCAUCUACUGUUUUUCGUAGGAAUAGUUCUAAGUCAGAUUUUCGGAGUCUGUAUACCCUAAAGGCACACUCGCGUUUGUACAAAUUCAUAGAUUUAAUUUCAAUAUAUAAAGACAUUCGGCUCUUUCAACCGAUCAAUUACUAUGCAUUUCAUCCAUUCGGCUCAUUCAGCCGAACUUGUUCUACAGUAAGGAUUUUCGAACUCAGCUGAUCCGAUCGCAAAUCAGCAGAAUCGCCUGAUCCGUCGGAGGGCGCAAGCUUCGA